GACGAACGCUGGCGGCGUGCUUAACACAUGCAAGUCGAACGGUAAGGCCCUUCGGGGUACACGAGUGGCGAACGGGUGAGUAACACGUGGGUGAUCUGCCCUGCACUUCGGGAUAAGCCUGGGAAACUGGGUCUAAUACCGGAUAGGACCACUGCCUGCAUGGGGGGUGGUGGAAAGCUUUUGCGGUGGGGGAUGGGCCCGCGGACUGUCAGCUUGUUGGUGGGGUGAUGGCCUACCAAGGCGACGACGGGUAGCCGGCCUGAGAGGGUGACCGGCCACACUGGGACUGAGAUACGGCCCAGACUCCUACGGGAGGCAGCAGUGGGGAAUAUUGCACAAUGGGCGCAAGCCUGAUGCAGCGACGCCGCGUGAGGGAUGACGGCCUUCGGGUUGUAAACCUCUUUCAGCACCGACGAAGCGCAAGUGACGGUAGGUGCAGAAGAAGGACCGGCCAACUACGUGCCAGCAGCCGCGGUAAAAC
rnacentral:rRNA from 1 species